GGGGUUGUGGCUCAGCGGUAGAGCAUUCACCUAGCAUGUGUGGGGCGAUGGGUUCGAUCCUCAGCACCA
rnacentral:tRNA from 1 species